GUACGGAUAGCUCAGUUGGUAGAGCAGAGGACUGAAAAUCCUCGUGUCACUAGUUCAAAUCUGGUUCUUGGCA
rnacentral:tRNA from 1 species